rnacentral:rRNA from 1 species
AUUGAACGCUGGCGGCAGGCCUAACACAUGCAAGUCGAACGAGUGGCGGACGGGUGAGUAAUGUCUGGGAACCUGCCUGAUGGAGGGGGAUAACUACUGGAAACGUUAGCUAAUACCGCAUACCAUCGGAUGUGCCCAGAUGGGAUUAGCUAGUGGGUGGGGUACCGGCUCACCUAGGCGACGAUCCCUAGCGGGUCUGAGAGGAUGACCAGCCACACUGGAACUGAGAAACGGUCCAGACUCCUACGGGAGGCAGCAGUGGGGAAUAUUGCACAAUGGGCGCAAGCCUGAUGCAGCCAUGCCGCGUGUAUGAAGAAGGCCUUCGGGUUGUAAAGUACUUUCAGCGGGGAGGCGUUACCCGCAGAAGAAGCACCGGCUAACUCCGUGCCAGCAGCCGCGGUAAUAC